UACGUAGGGUGCAGGCGUUAAUCGGAAUUACUGGGCGUAAAGCGUGCGCAGGCGGUUUGCUAAGACAGGUGUGAAAUCCCCGGGCUUAACCUGGGAACUGCGCUUGUUACUGGCAGGCUUGAGUGUGGCAGAGGGGGGUGGAAUUCCACGUGUAGCAGUGAAAUGCGUAGAGAUGUGGAGGAACACCGAUGGCGAAGACAGCCCCCUGGGCUAACACUGACGCUCAUGCACGAAAGCGUGGGGAGCAAACAGG
rnacentral:rRNA from 1 species